AGGUCGAGAAGACCAAGGCGCACGAGAGAAACAUUGGUUAAGGAACUCGGCAAAAUAGCGGCCGUAACUUCGGGAUAAGGCCCGCCUCACUUCGGUGAGGCUCAACAAAAGACUCCAUGCAACUGUUUAUCAAAAACACAGCUCCCUGCUAACUCGUAAGAGGAUGUAUAGGGGGCGAUGCCUGGCCAGUGUCAGAACGUUAAAGGGAGAGGUUAGUCUUCGGACAAAGCUUUGAACUGAAGCGCUGAUGAACGCCGGCGGUAACUAUAACCGUCCUAAGGUAGCGAAAUUCCUUGUCGGGUGAGUUCCGACCCGCACGAAUGGCAUAAUGAUGUGGAGACUGUCUUAACCAUGUACUCGGCGAAAAUGCAAGAGUCGUGAAGAUGCGACUUACCCGCAACUAGACGAAAAGACCCCGUGAAGCUUUACUAUAACUUGACAUUGAUACAUUAUUCCAUAUGUUCAGCAUAGGUGGGAGCCUUCGGGCACCAGUGAGAUACCACCCUUGUGUUAUGGUGUGUCUAAUUUUAGACCCUGAAUCGGGUUUAGGAGACAGUGUCUGGUGGGUAGUUUAACUGGGGCGGUUGCCUCCCAAACUGUAACGGAGGCGUUUACAAAGGUUGGCUUGAUCCGGAUGGAAAUCGGAUUGGACGUGCAAACGCAGAAGCCAGCUUUACUGCAAGAGUUACCACUCGAGCAGUCACGAAAGUGGAAGUUAGUGAUCCGACCGUACGAUAUAGGACGGCGGAAGCUCAACGGAUAAAAGUUACUCCGGGGAUAACAGGCUGAUCGCAUCCAAGCGUCCAUAGCGACGAUGCGGUUUGGCACCUCGAUGUCGGCUCAUCGCAUCCUGGGGCUGGAGAAGGUCCCAAGGGUUUGGCUGUUCGCCAAUUAAAGCGGUACGCGAGCUGGGUUCAGAACGUCGUGAGACAGUUCGGUCUCCUAUCUGUUGUGGGCGUUGAAUAUUGAGGAAACUCAUCUCUAGUACGAGAGGACCGAGAUGGACAAACCUCUGGUCUACCAGUUGUGCACCACGCAUCGCUGGGUAGCUAAGUUCGGUACGGAUAAGCGCUGAAAGCAUCUAAGUGCGAAGCCGUUUCCAAGAUUAAUAUUCGUUAUCAGGGUCGUCCGAGACGAGGACGUUGAUAGGCACUAGGUGAAUGCCAAGGUGUACUAAUUACCCGAGCACUACGGAAAC
rfam:Candidatus Magasanikbacteria bacterium RIFOXYC12_FTLL_33_11 rifoxyc3_full_scaffold_2507, whole genome shotgun sequence.